CCUCACAGGGUUCUCCCUCUCUGCCACUUGCCGCUGCAUCGGUGAGUGUGGUCGGGGAGCCGAGAUAGCUUGAAUAAAGACUGUUUGCUUUUGCAUCGGACUCAGCUGGCUCCCUGGUGGUCUUUUGGGGAUCUUGAAAUCUGGGCAUAACAUCUGGGGGCUUGUCCGGGAUUCCCAAGACCCUCGAGGGACCCCCGAUCCAGAGAGUCUGACUGACCGCGUGCCCGAAGCGGUCUAGGUGGAUGCACUGCUGAAGGACCACGGGCGGGGAGAGUUGGAAAACGUUCCGCUC